GGUGUAGGGGUUAACAUGCCUGCCUGUCACGCAGGAGAUCGCGGGUUCAAAUCCCGUC
rnacentral:tRNA from 1 species